UUUCCGUAGGUGAACCUGCGGAAGGAUCAUUAUCGUAUAACCGAGGUGCGAGGGCUGUCGCUGACCCGGACGCUCGUGCACGCCUGAGUGCCCUCACACACAUCCAUCUCACCCCUAUGUGCACCACCGCGUGGGUCCCCCUUUGGCUUGUUCGGAGGGGGGCUUACGUUUUCAGACAAACUUUGUAUGCAGUGUAGAAUGUAUUUUUUGUUUUUGCGAUCCCGCAAUCAAUACAACUUUCAACAACGGAUCUCUUGGCUCUC
rnacentral:misc_RNA from 1 species